UUUGGUUAAGUUAGAAAGGGCGCACGGUGGAUGCCUUGACACUAGGAGUCGAUGAAGGACGGGACUAACGCCGAUAUGCUUCGGGGAGCUGUAAGUAAGCUUUGAUCCGAAGAUUUCCGAAUGGGGAAACCCACCAUACGUAAUGGUAUGGUAUCCUUAUCUGAAUACAUAGGGUAAGGAAGACAGACCCAGGGAACUGAAACAUCUAAGUACCUGGAGGAAGAGAAAGCAAAUGCGAUUUCCUGAGUAGCGGCGAGCGAAACGGAACAUAGCCCAAACCAAGAGGCUUGCCUCUUGGGGUUGUAGGACAUUCUAUACGGAGUUACAAAGGAACGAGGUAGACGAAGCGACCUGGAAAGGUCCGUCGUAGAGGGUAACAACCCCGUAGUCGAAACUUCGUUCUCUCUUGAAUGUAUCCUGAGUACGGCGGAACACGUGAAAUUCCGUCGGAAUCUGGGAGGACCAUCUCCCAAGGCUAAAUACUCCCUAGUGAUCGAUAGUGAACCAGUACCGUGAGGGAAAGGUGAAAAGCACCCCGGAAGGGGAGUGAAAGAGAUCCUGAAACCGUGUGCCUACAAAUAGUCAGAGCCCGUUAACGGGUGAUGGCGUGCCUUUUGUAGAAUGAACCGGCGAGUUACGAUCCCGUGCGAGGUUAAGCUGAAGAGGCGGAGCCGCAGCGAAAGCGAGUCUGAAUAGGGCGUUUAGUACGUGGUCGUAGACCCGAAACCAGGUGAUCUACCCAUGUCCAGGGUGAAGUUCAGGUAACACUGAAUGGAGGCCCGAACCCACGCACGUUGAAAAGUGCGGGGAUGAGGUGUGGGUAGCGGAGAAAUUCCAAUCGAACCUGGAGAUAGCUGGUUCUCCCCGAAAUAGCUUUAGGGCUAGCCUUAAGUGUAAGAGUCUUGGAGGUAGAGCACUGAUUGGACUAGGGGUCCUCAUCGGAUUACCGAAUUCAGUCAAACUCCGAAUGCCAAUGACUUAUCCUUAGGAGUCAGACUGCGAGUGAUAAGAUCCGUAGUCAAAAGGGAAACAGCCCAGACCGCCAGCUAAGGUCCCAAAGUGUGUAUUAAGUGGAAAAGGAUGUGGAGUUGCUUAGACAACUAGGAUGUUGGCUUAGAAGCAGCCACCAUUUAAAGAGUGCGUAAUAGCUCACUAGUCGAGUGACUCUGCGCCGAAAAUGUACCGGGGCUAAAUACACCACCGAAGCUGCGGAUUGAUACCGAAUGGUAUCAGUGGUAGGGGAGCGUUCUAAGGACAGUGAAGUCAGACCGGAAGGACUGGUGGAGUGCUUAGAAGUGAGAAUGCCGGUAUGAGUAGCGAAAGACGGGUGAGAAUCCCGUCCACCGAAUGCCUAAGGUUUCCUGAGGAAGGCUCGUCCGCUCAGGGUUAGUCAGGACCUAAGCCGAGGCCGACAGGCGUAGGCGAUGGACAACAGGUUGAUAUUCCUGUACCACCUCUUUAUCGUUUGAGCAAUGGAGGGACGCAGAAGGAUAGAAGAAGCGUGCGAUUGGUUGUGCACGUCCAAGCAGUUAGGCUGAUAAGUAGGCAAAUCCGCUUAUCGUAAAGGCUGAGCUGUGAUGGGGAAGCUCCUUAUGGAGCGAAGUCUUUGAUUCCCCGCUGCCAAGAAAAGCUUCUAGCGAGAUAAAAGGUGCCUGUACCGCAAACCGACACAGGUAGGCGAGGAGAGAAUCCUAAGGUGUGCGAGAGAACUCUGGUUAAGGAACUCGGCAAAAUGACCCCGUAACUUCGGGAGAAGGGGUGCUUUCUUAACGGAAAGCCGCAGUGAAUAGGCCCAAGCGACUGUUUAGCAAAAACACAGCUCUCUGCGAAGCCGUAAGGCGAAGUAUAGGGGGUGACACCUGCCCGGUGCUGGAAGGUUAAGGAGAGGGGUUAGCGUAAGCGAAGCUCUGAACUGAAGCCCCAGUAAACGGCGGCCGUAACUAUAACGGUCCUAAGGUAGCGAAAUUCCUUGUCGGGUAAGUUCCGACCCGCACGAAAGGUGUAACGAUUUGGGCACUGUCUCAACCAGAGACUCGGUGAAAUUAUAGUACCUGUGAAGAUGCAGGUUACCCGCGACAGGACGGAAAGACCCCGUGGAGCUUUACUGUAGCCUGAUAUUGAAUUUUGGUACAGUUUGUACAGGAUAGGCGGGAGCCUUUGAAACCGGAGCGCUAGCUUCGGUGGAGGCGCUGGUGGGAUACCGCCCUGACUGUAUUGAAAUUCUAACCUACGGGUCUUAUCGACCCGGGAGACAGUGUCAGGUGGGCAGUUUGACUGGGGCGGUCGCCUCCUAAAGUGUAACGGAGGCGCCCAAAGGUUCCCUCAGAAUGGUUGGAAAUCAUUCGUAGAGUGCAAAGGCAUAAGGGAGCUUGACUGCGAGACCUACAAGUCGAGCAGGGACGAAAGUCGGGCUUAGUGAUCCGGUGGUUCCGCAUGGAAGGGCCAUCGCUCAACGGAUAAAAGCUACCCCGGGGAUAACAGGCUUAUCUCCCCCAAGAGUCCACAUCGACGGGGAGGUUUGGCACCUCGAUGUCGGCUCAUCGCAUCCUGGGGCUGUAGUCGGUCCCAAGGGUUGGGCUGUUCGCCCAUUAAAGCGGUACGCGAGCUGGGUUCAGAACGUCGUGAGACAGUUCGGUCCCUAUCCGUCGUGGGCGUAGGAAAUUUGAGAGGAGCUGUCCUUAGUACGAGAGGACCGGGAUGGACGCACCGCUGGUGUACCAGUUGUUCUGCCAAGGGCAUAGCUGGGUAGCUAUGUGCGGAAGGGAUAAGUGCUGAAAGCAUCUAAGCAUGAAGCCCCCCUCAAGAUGAGAUUUCCCAUAGCGUAAGCUAGUAAGAUCCCUGAAAGAUGAUCAGGUUGAUAGG
rnacentral:rRNA from 1 species